AGAGUUUGAUCAUGGCUCAGAUUGAACGCUGGCGGCAGGCUUAACACAUGCAAGUCGAGCGGAGAUGAGGUGCUUGCACCUUAUCUUAGCGGCGGACGGGUGAGUAAUGCUUAGGAAUCUGCCUAUUAGUGGGGGACAACAUUCCGAAAGGAAUGCUAAUACCGCAUACGUCCUACGGGAGAAAGCAGGGGAUCUUCUGACCUUGCGCUAAUAGAUGAGCCUAAGUCGGAUUGGCUAGUUGGUGGGGUAAAGGCCUACCAAGGCGACGAUCUGUAGCGGGUCUGAGAGGAUGAUCCGCCACACUGGGACUGAGACACGGCCCAGACUCCUACGGGAGGCAGCAGUGGGGAAUAUUGGACAAUGGGGGGAACCCUGAUCCAGCCAUGCCGCGUGUGUGAAGAAGGCCUUAUGGUUGUAAAGCACUUUAAGCGAGGAGGAGGCUACUGAGACUAAUACUCUUGGAUAGUGGACGUUACUCGCAGAAUAAGCACCGGCUAACUCUGUGCCAGCAGCCGCGGUAAUACAGAGGGUGCGAGCGUUAAUCGGAUUUACUGGGCGUAAAGCGUGCGUAGGCGGCUUUUUAAGUCGGAUGUGAAAUCCCCGAGCUUAACUUGGGAAUUGCAUUCGAUACUGGGAAGCUAGAGUAUGGGAGAGGAUGGUAGAAUUCCAGGUGUAGCGGUGAAAUGCGUAGAGAUCUGGAGGAAUACCGAUGGCGAAGGCAGCCAUCUGGCCUAAUACUGACGCUGAGGUACGAAAGCAUGGGGAGCAAACAGGAUUAGAUACCCCGGUAGUCCAA
rnacentral:rRNA from 1 species